AGUGAAUAGAUACCCCGGUAGUCCUGGCCCUAAACGAUGAAUGCUUGGUGUGGCGGGUAUCGAUCCCUGCCGUGCCGAAAGCUAACGCAUUAAGCAUUCCGCCUGGGGAGUACGGUCGCAAGGCUGAAACUCAAGGGAAUUGACGGGGGCCCGCACAAGCGGUGGAGCAUGUGGUUUAAUUCGACGCAACGCGAAGAACCUUACCCAGGCUUGAACUGCAGAUGACAUCCUACGAAAGUAGGCUUCCGCAAGGACGUCUGUAGAGGUGCUGCAUGGCUGUCGUCAGCUCGUGUCGUGAGAUGUUGGGUUAAGUCCCGCAACGAGCGCAACCCUUGUCUUCUGUUGCCAUCAGGUUAAGCUGGGCACUCUGAAGAGACUGCCGGUGACAAACCGGAGGAAGGUGGGGAUGACGUCAAGUCAGCAUGGCCUUUAUGUCUGGGGCCACACACGUGCUACAAUGGCCGGUACAAACCGUCGCGAUCCCGCGAGGGGGAGCUAAUCGGAUAAAGCCGGUCUCAGUUCGGAUU
rnacentral:rRNA from 1 species